AAUGGUAGUUUCGUCGCUUUUCAUUAUAGUUCUUAUGGGACUUUUUGUGUACACUCAAAAAGCUCUAUAAUCUCUACAGUGGUUUUACCCACUACAGAAAUUAUAGAGCC
rfam:Streptococcus sp. DD10 genomic scaffold scaffold00005, whole genome shotgun sequence.